AAAAUGAGCACGUCAACUCUUGAUCAUUUUAGAAAUGUACUUCUGAAGUUUUUUAGAAUAGAAAUUUAUCAGCAUUCAACAGCUUGGACAGAUGGCAUAAAGGUAUAGAAUUAAGCACUACGGAUGGCAUUGUGUUUCGAUUCUACGAAAAUCGUGGUUCCAUGCCAAUACCAUUUGAUGGAUGUCCGUUCGUGCAAUUGGGAACAGAAGUAAGAGAAUGCCACUACGGUCCUAAUAGGAAGGAAAGAAAGAAAGCUCAGCCGGUAUGGUUGUCAUAUAACACAAUUUGUGACAAAAUAAUGAAAAGACACUGUAUUAUUAUUGAAAAUGAUAUUUUUCUGGUAUUUUUAAUUAUUUGGGUAACAUCUUUGUAAGCAUGAUUGCUUGGGUGGAAGAGAAAGUGCCAGGACAGUUGUUAUAUAUCUACCAGUUGGGCAUGGCAUUGUAAGCAUUCUUGGCUUAUCAAUUGCUGUGCAGUGAAUAAAGUUGUUUACAUUCCAUGAUGUCAUUUGAUGUGGUAAUAAUGUAAUGGAAAUUGGAAUGUAAUUGGUUAGUCGAAUGAAAACUAUUUGUGAUGGUUAUAUUAUAUGGGAAACAAAGUAUAGCAUGUGAUACAUAAUUAUCGGAUUUAUCCAUAAUCAUAUUUUGUAAAGUCUAUCUAUCAGUUAAGGGUCUCACAUUAACAUAUAUUUCUUAGUGUUUAAACAAAAUGAAUUAAGCUAAACGUUAUUGUUUUAAUGGUAUCUCCGUGUCCCUUUUAAAAGCAUCUGUGUCAAACUAAAAAUAAUACUUUUUCUAGAUAUUAUUAUUCACAUGUCAUUCAUGCAUGAUGUCACAUUAAAAGUCAACUUUUCUUAUGGUUGUCAAACCAUUGGGUUACAUUCUAUCUAGCUUCAUGGCAUAAUUAAUAAUACAACUGUUUUUGACGAGUAACAGUAGGUUUGACAAGUUAUUCAUUAUUUGUUUGAAAAGUACGGAUAUGGAGACUUUUCCCGCGACAAGCGUCAUUUGCCAUCAUCCACAGAAUGUAUGUCAUUGAAAGAAAAGAUGUUGGGAAAUUUCUUCGUGGUCUUUGUGCUGAUGAUUGUCGAAUUUUCAAGAUGUUUUGGGGAAUGCUCACGCAACUAGUUGCUGGAAAAUGUCCUCAGAUAGGGGCCUUUUCCCCAUGUGAUAGUUGUGGUAUUGGAUGUUCUAUUUACAAGACACAUGAAAAAAAAUCUACAACAGGCUAUUACAGAAGAAAUAGGAUGUCAUCUUAUUAUUUCAUGAAAUGCUGAAGUUUGUAUUUUGCUCAUUCACUGUAUGUAGUGUGUUUCUUCUUAUAUCAGUAUUUUGCUUCAAAUUUCACUGUAAAACGUGGACAGAAUUCACAUUGAUGACCUGUUCCUGAUAUAUUUCAUAAACAGAAUCCUUGAUUUUAUUAAUGCAUGUAUUUCGUGCAUGAACAUGUAUUUAAGAAUGAUCCCGAACAUGCAUACGCCGGUGGCAAGAGGAAAAUAAUUCAAAACACAAAGAAACACGGCUGUUGCUGCCAGAUUCGAAUGAAAACCAUCUUGCGGUUCCCAGACUAUAAGCUUGAAGGCACAGACACAAGGCGGAAAAGACAGGCUGUCAUAGAUCGGCUAAAAUCAGCUGAAGUCUCUUCUUUGAGAGGCGAAGUGUGUGUUCUUGUUGCCUAUGUUGGAACCCACGAACAUCACGUAAUGGGCGAGGUUUGUAUUACUUGUAAUGGGAAUCAAGAUCAAUGUAAGAUUAUACUUUUAAAAACUUAACAAUUAUUGUGUACAACAGCAAGUCAUAGAGAUGAGACAUGUCACAUGCAAGAUAAUCUGGAAGAUCUUAACCCAGAUUUUCAAAUUCUGAGCCCUUCCUUAUCAAUAAAUGUGUUUAUGCAAUUUAUGAUAUUUGGUAUUUUAAAAUCUUAAAUAUUUAUGAAACUGCAGUCCUUAAAUAUCCAUUUUCAUUUGGCAUUGAAUUUUGUAUAGUAGAUCUCACAAGUUAUUGUUAAUAUGUUGAUUCUUUAGGGCAUGAUACAUCAUCAAGUAGACCUCAACCACAUUUUAUAAAAUUAUGGCCCUGUGUUAAAAAUUAUCUCGGCACUUGUGGCCAAUCUUAUUCCUGUACAUGUAAAUAAUAAAAAAGUCCCCAAAUCAUCCCAGAAAGAAACUGGAGGUAGAAAGUUUUUAUGUCAGAUCAUCAGAUACCUGUUAGUGAAACUAUAACAUUUGCUUGUAAGUUUGCUUGUAUUCAUGUAAGUGACUCAUGGCACACUUGGGCCUCUUGUUUGCUUUAUCAGCACUUACAUGGUAAAAGUUUUUAAAUAUUAAUUACAGUCUGUGAAACAGGUAUCAGGCCUUUCCCCAUACAUUUGCUAAUGCACUGGUGUAAACAUGCGUGAUAAGGGUGAUACUGUGGUAUCUGUUUGAAUUUGUUUAAUUUUUAAGUUGCUACAUCAAAACUUAUUAUACUGUAGACGGUUCAUUUUUUGUACAAAUAAUUAAUAUAUAAACAGCAUUUGAAACGAUAUUCAACCUUUUAAUUUCACAUUGGUUGUCUGGUUGAUUUUACAUACAUGUUGAAGAAUGAAAGCAACACAAAUUGGUGAGGACAGUUAAUAAAUGAAAGAUUUAGGCACAGGGUUUCCUGGUUUUUAAGCACCUUGGAAAAGGCCUGAGAUAUUUUGAAAUAAGAGUUGUAGAAAGAAACCUAUAAAACAUAUGGAAAACCAGAAGGAGAUAAAUACUUUAUGUAUGAAACUUACAAAAAUAAAAAAAGU